rnacentral:rRNA from 1 species
AUUGAACGCUGGCGGAAUGCUUUACACAUGCAAGUCGAGCGGCAGCGCGGGGCAACCUGGCGGCGAGCGGCGAACGGGUGAGUAAUGCAUCGGAACGUACCCCGUCGUGGGGGAUAACUACCCGAAAGGGUAGCUAAUACCGCAUGCGACCUGAGGGUGAAAGCGGGGGACCGAAAGGCCUCGCGCGAUGGGAGCGGCCGAUGCCGGAUUAGCUAGUUGGUAGGGUAAAGGCCUACCAAGGCGACGAUCCGUAGCUGGUCUGAGAGGACGACCAGCCACACUGGAACUGAGACACGGUCCAGACUCCUACGGGAGGCAGCAGUGGGGAAUUUUGGACAAUGGGCGAAAGCCUGAUCCAGCCAUUCCGCGUGAGUGAAGAAGGCCU